rnacentral:rRNA from 1 species
GAUGAACGCUGGCGGCGUGCCUAAUACAUGCAAGUCGAGCGGACGGACGCGAAGCUUUCUUCUCUGAUGUUAGCGGCGGACGGGUGAGUAACACGUGGAUAAUCUCCCUCUACGACUGGGAUGACUUCCGCAUACCGGUGCUAAUACCGCAUAAUAUUUUGAACCUCAUGGUUCAAAAGUGUAAGACGGUCUUGCUUUCACUUAUAGAUGGAUCCGCGCUGCAUUAGCUAGUUGGUAGGGUAAUGGCUUACCAAGGCAGCGAUGCAUAGCCGACCUGAGAGGAGGGUGGGCCGCACCAGAGCUGAUGCGCGGUCCAGACGCCUACGGGAGGCAGCAGUAGGGAAGAUUACGCAAUGGGCGGAAGCCUGACGGAGCAGCGCCGCGUGAGGGAUGAAGGUGUUCGGAGCGUAAAGAUCUGUUAUCGGGGGUGAACAAAGGUGUAAGUGUUUGUGGGUAGCUUGACGGUACCUAAUCAAAAAGCCACGGCUAACUACGUG